CUAGCGACUUCAGAGUUUGAUCCUGGCUCAGGACGAACGCUGGCGGCGUGCUUAACACAUGCAAGUCGAACGGAAAGGCCCUGCUUGCAGGGUACUCGAGUGGCGAACGGGUGAGUAACACGUGGGUGAUCUGCCCUGCACUUCGGGAUAAGCCUGGGAAACUGGGUCUAAUACCGGAUAGGAGCCAUUUUAGUGUGAUGGUUGGAAAGUUUUUUCGGUGUAGGAUGAGCUCGCGGCCUAUCAGCUUGUUGGUGGGGUAAUGGCCUACCAAGGCGGCGACGGGUAGCCGGCCUGAGAGGGUGGACGGCCACAUUGGGACUGAGAUACGGCCCAG
rnacentral:rRNA from 1 species